rnacentral:lncRNA from 1 species
UCAGGGUGCUAGAGUCACAUACUCUUGGGUUCCAUGUUAAAACAAACUAAUGGCUAUAUAUCUUAGUAAUAUUAAACAAAGCUAUAUGGCUGUUGAUGAUAUAUCUUAGUAAUUUUAGUUUUGCCUUCCUGUGAUGAUGCAGGUGCCUAGUUUGUGCUCGCUACCGAAGGAGCUCCAUGUUGAAGAAGAUUGAAGACACUUGUAGAGCUACAGGGUUAACACCAGGGCAAUGUAUCACAUGUAGAGCUUGUAGAGCUUGUAUAUGUUAGAGCUUAUUAUGUGUAGAGCUUGUAAAGUAUAUGUUAUUUGUACAAUAGGAGCUCUUUACUGAAUCUGGCUGAUAAUAUUUGGAGUAUUGUGUGUGUGUUUGGUUUGUGCCAAUUUAAAUACACUAGUAGAAAAAGGGUCAAACGUGAAGCACAUUAGUGCCGGUUUGAAUUUGAGCCGGCACUAAUGUGUACAUUAGUGCCGGUUCCAACGGCUAGCCGGGCCGCUCUCAUUAGUACCGGUUCGUGGUGAACCUUUAGCACUAGUUCGUGCCACAAACCAGUACUAAAGUGAGUGGUGGAAGGAUGUUGUCAGUCCGGGGCCCCUCCAGCACCUUUAGUACCGGGUCGUAUCACGAACCGGUACUAAAGGUCAUCCUACAUAGACCCUUCGUCCACCCGAGCUCGCUCUGUUCUUCCCCUUUCCCCUCUCCUCUCUGUUCUUUUCCCUCUUCCUCUCAAGCUCAUCACACAUUUUGCCCAAGAUUUGAAGGCACCCAUCCAUUCAAAUGAUCACAAAGGUUAGCAACUUUUUCCUUUCAUCUCUCAUUGCUAGAUUAGCUCGUGCAAUGCUUUAUAUAGUGAUUGAUUUUUGAGUUUAGUAAUUUGGUAGGAAUUAUAUAUAUGUGCUAGUAUUUGAUUUAUAUGCAAUUUGAGGUCAAAAAUAACACUUAGUUUUGCAUAUGUAGGUGUGGUUUACUUAGUACCUACUAAAUCUCCGUCGUAACCACCGUCGAUCGCUCGCAACGUCCCGUCGCCGGCACCACCUUGUGGUGAGCCUCUUGUUCAUGAAGUUUUAUAUAAAAAAUUGAUGUUUGUGUGAUUUGGAUAUAUAGUUACUCGUAUAAUUAUCUUACCCAUACGUUGUUUGUUAUGCAUAGUGCCAUGGUUUUUAUAUCCGUCCCCGUCGGCCAUCGUCCGGGUUAUGAUUCGGAUGUGGUAUAUUCUCUUUUAAAACUAUUCAUUGCAUUUUGUGUUUAUGACAAAUUAUUCCCAUCAAGUUGACAUAGAUAUUUAUAUGUAGGAGGUAGUUGAACUGGAAAUUCCAACCGACCCUAUUGUCGAGAGGUUAAAUUUAGUUGAAAGAGAAAAUGAGGAUUUGAAGGAAAAAUUGAAAAGAAUUGAGGGGGAGAAGAUGGAAUUGGAGUUGCAUGUUGCUGAUGUCGUUGAUGAUCACAAGAUUAAGAUGGAGAAAAUGCGCUUGAAGAUUAGAAAGAUUAGAAAAUAUGCCAUUCAUAGUGAGGCUUGGUAUCAUUAUGCUGUUGGAUCAAUUGUUACCUUAGUUGCGAUCUUCAUCGCAUUUGUUGUUGCAUUUAAAUUCUUUAGCUAGAGAGUUAUUUGUUUGUUGCAUUUAAGUGUUGUAUGAUCUUUAUGUAUGAACUUUAUGUAUUGUAUACGAUGACCGAUGCUCUCCCGAGUUCAUUAAUGGCAUGCGUACUUUUCUGCUUGCGGCUGAGGCAAACAAGCGAGCGGAUAGUUUUAUGCAUUGUCCAUGUGCUGGCUGUAAGAAUGGUCGCAAUUACUCUACGUCAAGAACCAUUCAUGUCCACCUGUUUGAGUCCGGUUUCAUGCCCCACUAAUGUUUGGACCAAGCAUGGAGAAAGAGGGGUUAUGAUGGAAGACAAUGAAGAAGAAGAGGACGACGACAGCUAUCCUGGCCAUGGGUUCCCUGAAUACGAUGAUACAACAAUGAGGGAAGAAGUUGAGCCAGUAAUGCAGGAAGAAGGUGAGCCGACAAUGCGGGAAGAAGCUGAAGAAGAGGCAUCGGAUGAGCCCGUUGAUGAUCUAGGUCGGGCCAUUGCCAAUGCAAAGAGAAACUGCGCAAGUGAUUUGGAGAAGAAGAAGUUGCAGCGCAUAUUAGAGGAUCACAAAAAAUUGUUGUACCUGAAUUGCGUAGGUGACAAGAAAAAGAUGGGCACCACACUGGAAUUGCUGUAAUGGAAGGUAGAGAAUGGUGUAUCUGACAAGGGAUUUGGAAAGUUGCUGGUAAUGAUAAAGGAUAUGCUUCCAAAGGACAAUCAAUUACCCGAGAGUACGUACGAAGCAAAGAAGGUUGUCUGCCCUCUAGGGUUAGAGGUGCAGAAGAUACAUGCAUGCCCUAAUGAUUGCAUCCUCUACCAUGGUGAGUACGAGGAUUUGAACGCUUGCCCGGUAUGUGGUGCAUUGCGCUAUAAGAUCAGCCGCGGUGACAAUGGUGAUGUCGAGGGCGAGCGCCCCAGGAAGAAGAUUCCUGCCAAGGUGAUGUGGUAUGCUCCUAUAAUACCACGGUUGAAACGUUUGUUUCAAAACAAAGAGCAUGCCAAGGCGAUGUGAUGGCACAGAGAAGACCGUAAGAAAGACGGAAAGUUGAGAGUACCUGCUGACGGGUCGCAGUGGAGAAAAAUCGAAAGAAAGUACUGGAAGGAGUUUGCAGAUGACGCAAGGAACGUAUGGUUUGGUCUAAGCGCAGAUGGCAUUAAUCCUUUUGGGGAGCAGAGCAGCAACCAUAGCACCUGGCAUGUGACUCUAUGUUUGUAUAACCUUCCUCCUUGGUUGUGCAUGAAGCGGAAGUUCAUUAUGAUGCCAGUGCUCAUCCAAGGCCCUAAGCAACCCGGCAACGACAUUGAUGUGUACCUAAGGACAUUAGUUGAAGAACUAUUACAACUGUGGAAUGGAACAGGUGUACGUGUGUGGGAUGAGCACAUGGGGGAAGAAUUUGACCUAAAGGCAUUGCUGUUCGUGACCAACAAUGAUUGGCCUGCUCUUAGUAACCUUUCAGGACAGACAAACAAGGGAUACCGCGCAUGCACGCACUGUUUGGACGAUACCGAUAGUAUAUAUUUGGCUAAUUGUAAGAAGAAUGUGUACCUGGGACAUCGUCAAUUUUUUCCGCGCAGGCAUCCCGUAAGAAAGAAAGGCAAGCAUUUCAAAGGUGAGGCGGAUCAUCGGACGAAGCCUUGCCACCGUACUGGUGCUGAUGUACAUGAUAUGGUCAAGGAUUUGAAGGUGGUCUUUGGAAAGGGUCCUGGUGGACAACCUAUUCCGAAUGACGCUGACGGACGCGCACUCAUGUGGAAGAAGAAAUCUAUAUUUUGGGACCUGCCCUAUUGGAAAGACCUAGAGGUCCGCUCCGCAAUCGACGUGAUGCACGUGACGAAGAAUCUUUGUGUGACCCUGCUUGGCUUCUUGGGCGUGUAUGGGAAGACAAAAGAUACACCUGAGGCACAGGAGGACCAGCAACGUAUGCACGGAAAAGACGGCAUACAUCAGGGUCAUGCAAGAUAUGCUCUUACCAAAGAAGAGAAGGAAAUCUUCUUUGAAUGCCUGCUUAGUAUUAAGGUACCGUCUGGCUUCUUGUCGAAUAUAAAGGGAAUAAUAAACAUGGUAGAGAAAAAGCUCCAGAACCUAAAGUAUCAUGACUGCCACGUGAUUAUGACGCAACUGCUUCCGGUUGCAUUGAGGGGGCUUCUACCGGAAAAUGUUCGAUUAGCCAUUGCGCAGCUAUGUGCAUUUCUCAAUGCAAUCUCUCAGAAGGUAAUCGAUCCAGAAAUCAUACGAAGGUUAGAGAAUGAUUUGGUGCAAUGUCUUGUCAGUUUCGAGUUGGUGUUCCCACCAUCCUUCUUCAACAUCAUGACGCACGUCCUAGUUCACCUAUGCGAAGAGAUUAACGUUUUGGGUCCUGUAUUUCUACAUAAUAUGUUCCCCUUUGAGAGGUUCAUGGGAGUCUUAAAGAAAUAUGUUCAUAACCGUGCUAGGCCAGAAGGAAGCAUCUCCAAGGGCCAUGAAAAUGAGGAGGUCAUUGAGUUUUGUAUUGACUUUAUUCCUGACCUUAAGCCAAUUGGUGUUCCUGAAUCGCGACAUAAGGGCAGACUGGAUGGAAAAGGCAUGCUAGGAGGGGAACAAAUAAUAUGUAUGGACGGAUAUUCUCUCACUGAAGCACACUACACAGUUCUACAGAAUUCCGCCUUGGUGGCUCCGUAUAUGGAUGAACACAAGAAUUUGGUACGCUCCAAACACCCGGGUCUGAUGACUGGAUUACACGUGAACAAACCAGGAGUUUUGCCAGCUGGUUGCAGACACGUACCAUGCAUGACACCUCUAUUUAAGAUGACAUGUACUUGUUGUCCUAGUUACCAUCUUCGAAUAUAAUGACUUUCAAAGGGUACGAGAUAAAUGGUAACACAUUUUACACGAUCGCCCAAGAUAAGAAAAGCACCAACCAAAACAGUGGUGUCCUCUUUGAUGCAGAAACCAAGAUGGGAAAGGAAAAUUAUUAUGGUUAUAUACAGGACAUAUGGGAACUUGACUAUCGACGUGGUUUGAAGGUCCCUUAGUUUCGGUGCAAAUGGGUCAAUAUGACACGAGGCGGGGUAACGGAAGACCCGCAGUACGGAAUGACAACAGUGGAUCUCAACAAUCUUGCGUAUGCAGAAGAACCAUUCGUCCUAGCCAAUGAUGUGGCACAGGUUUUCUAUGUGAGGGACAUGUCUACCAAGCCAAGAAAAAGAAAAGAUAAGGAAGCGAAUGCAUCGUACGAUGAGCCAAAGCGGCACAUCGUUCUUUCUGGGAAGAGAAACAUCAUGGGAGUGGAUGACAAGACAGACAUGUCAGAAGAUUAUGAAAAGUUUGAUGAAAUUGCUCCAUUCACAGUGAAUAUUGACCUGAGCAUCCCGUUAAAUGAUGAAGAUUUUCCAUGGUUACGACGCAAAGGGACACACGCGAAGAAAAAGUUUCACACCCAAAGAUCUGGGAUGUGAUCGGCUUCACUAUCAUCACUUUCUUCUGUGUUUCAUACCCAGGAGGGAAUCUCUGUAAUAGUUAGGGUAGUUAUGUGUUUUGGCAUUUGAAAUGCGAAGAAAUUUUAUGUGCGAACAAAUUCUUUCAUGCCUUUACUGAUUUUUAAAGUUAAGUUAUUCACAAACUAGUGAUUCACACUAAUUUCAAAUAAUUCAAAAUUUAAACUAUUAAAAUUUGAAAACUACGGGCACUAACAGAAAGUUUGUAAUUUUUUGUACCUAAAGCAAAAAUAUUAACAAAGAAACUCUAAAUACACAAAAAAAACAACUCAAAAAUAAAUAAAGCAAAAAAAUAAAAAAAAC